rnacentral:rRNA from 1 species
CCUACGGGGGGCAGCAGUGGGGAAUCUUGCGCAAUGGGCGAAAGCCUGACGCAGCAACGCCGCGUGCGGGAAGAAGGCUCUCGGGUUGUAAACCGCUUUCAGCAGGAACGAAAAUGACGGUACCUGCAGAAGAAGGUGCGGCCAACUACGUGCCAGCAGCCGCGGUGACACGUAGGCACCAAGCGUUGUCCGGAUUUAUUGGGCGUAAAGAGCUCGUAGGCGGUUCGGUAAGUCGGGUGUGAAAACUUUGGGCUUAACCCAAAGCGUGCACCCGAUACUGCUGUGACUAGAGUUCGGUAGGGGAGCGGGGAAUUCCUAGUGUAGCGGUGAAAUGCGCAGAUAUUAGGAGGAACACUGGUGGCGAAGGCGCCGCUCUGGGCCGAUACUGACGCUGAGGAGCGAAAGCGUGGGUAGCAAACAGGAUUAGAUACCCUGGUAGU